CGUACACUCCUACGGGAGGCAGCAGUGGGGAAUUUUGGACAAUGGGCGAAAGCCUGAUCCAGCCAUGCCGCGUGCAGGAUGAAGGCCUUCGGGUUGUAAACUGCUUUUGUACGGAACGAAACGGCCUUUUCUAAUAAAGAGGGCUAAUGACGGUACCGUAAGAAUAAGCACCGGCUAACUACGUGCCAGCAGCCGCGGUAAUACGUAGGGUGCAAGCGUUAAUCGGAAUUACUGGGCGUAAAGCGUGCGCAGGCGGUUAUGUAAGACAGUUGUGAAAUCCCCGGGCUCAACCUGGGAACUGCAUCUGUGACUGCAUAGCUAGAGUACGGUAGAGGGGGAUGGAAUUCCGCGUGUAGCAGUGAAAUGCGUAGAUAUGCGGAGGAACACCGAUGGCGAAGGCAAUCCCCUGGACCUGUACUGACGCUCAUGCACGAAAGCGUGGGGAGCAAACAGGAUUAGAAACCCUUGUAGUCCCAU
rnacentral:rRNA from 1 species